CAAUAGCGUAUAUUAAAGUUGUUGCGGUUAAAAAGCUCGUAGUUGGAUUUCUGUCGAGGGCGGCCGGUCCGCACUACGUGCGUGUAUCUGGUUUGGCCUUGGCAUCCUCUUGGGGAACGUCUCUGCGCUUAAUUGCGUGGAGCGGUAUUCAAGACUUUUACUUUGAGGAAAUUAGAGUGUUCACGGCAGGCCUUCGCCUUGAAUAUAUUAGCAUGGAAUAAUAAUAUAGGACCUUGGUUCUAUUUUGUUUGGUUUCUUAGAGCUAAGGUAAUGAUUAAUAGGGAGUAAUUGGGGGCGAUUCGUAUUAACGCGUCAGAGGUGGAAUUCUUGGAUUGCGUUACGACGAACUACUGCGAAAGCAUUUGCCAAGGAUGUUUUCUAUUGUAUCAAG
rnacentral:rRNA from 1 species